GCUGCUAGAUGGAGCUCAUCCUAGGAGAUUGCGGCCCAGUAUCCUCGUGCAUGCGCAUGUCUCUUUGUGGCUUCCACCCGCCCUUGGCAAAAUUUGCAGGUAUAAACAAGCCUUACGUAGAUACAUGUGUACUAUGGGAAAUUUUUAAUGCACUCUUCUAUUAUUGUCUAACAGCAAGUCCUAGCAGUGAAUUUGCUAAGUCAGAAAUUACCCACCGUGAGACAUUUUUAUGUGGUUUGACAAGCUGCCCUUAAGAAAGGAGGUUGCAGCAUUUCGCAUUUGUUAUCAUCUCCGUGUGUGAAAGCACCUGUUUGCCACCUGCUCACCGAUGGCUGGUGUUACCCAAAUUUUGCCAAUCUCAUAAAAAGGAAAUGUUAUCUCACCAUUUAGAUUUGCUUUAUUUCAUUUUUAGUGUGGCUAGACAGCUCUUCAAAUGAUUAUAGGUCAUUUAUCUUUCUUCUUUUGAGAACUGUCAGUUCAUUUUCUGCUCAGCUUUCUACUGGGAUAUUGCCUCUAGCUGGGAUGGAUUUGCAAGUUCUCUUCAGGGAUAGCAAACUUUUGCCUGUUAUUUAUGUUGCAAAUAUACUUUCCUGUUCGCCAUUUCUAUUUUUACCUUUCCGUAUGGUAUUUGUAAAAGGAGUUUUAAGUAUUUGGGUAGUCAAAUCUAUCCUAAUUAACUCUUACAUAUAUUCUUUCCUUCAGUGGAUGAAAGAAUGAAACCAACAUGUGAGUUGAUCCAUUAGGAGUGUGACUUCCCAUCUGAGUUUCUAAAAGAAUCAGACAACUCCACAACACGCUGGCCCAGCUUCAGGUAGUAGGUGCGCUGUUUAAGAUGGUGAAAAUUUUCACUUACACACUAAAGAUUUACCUAAGCCAACUUAAGAAAACUCAGAAGGAUUUCCAGCUACUAAGCUUACCCUUCCAGCUUACCUCCUGCUUCAGCUGAGUGGUGCUAAAGUCGGACUUGGAGUUCGGAUGGUAAUGGAGGCUGUUGGGAUGGGUGUGGGUUGCUCCCAGGAUAGAUGAAAUUCAAGUCAUAACUGACUAGAGAUCAGAUUUAUAACAAGACAGUUCACCAGGCAAAGGUUCCCGGGGUUUGGGAGAGCAUGUGAGGUCUGGGCUGCAGAGAACGAUUCUAAAUUAAAGCUCCAAGUUCAAGGAAUGUGAAUGAGGCACUGACUCUAUUUCAGGGAUAGUUGGCUCAUCUGCCCAUCUGCUCUACAAGAUAUUGGUCUUCCUCUGGGCAAAACUGUGAGCUACUCGUUUCUGUAUCUAGAGCACUUAGCAGAGCGUCAAGCAUAUAUUAGGC